CAAUAGCGUAUCUUUAAGUUGCUGCAGUUAAAAAGCUCGUAGUUGGAUUUCGGGUGGGAAUGGCCGGUCCGCCGUUUCGGUGUGCACUUGCUACGCCCACCUUGCUGCCGGGGACGUGCUCUUGAGUUCACGCUCGGGACACGGAGUCGGCGAGGUUACUUUGAGUAAAUUAGAGUGUUCAAAGCAGGCCUACGCUCUGAAUACAUUAGCAUGGAAUAACACGAUAGGACUCUGGCCUAUCUUGUUGGUCUGUAGGACCGGAGUAAUGAUUAAGAGGGACAGUCGGGGGCAUUCGUAUUUCAUUGUCAGAGGUGAAAUUCUUGGAUUUAUGAAAGACGAACUACUGCGAAAGCAUUUGCCAAGGAUGUUUUCAUUAA
rnacentral:rRNA from 1 species